AUAUUUUUGAUGGUGGAACGUAUACCAAUACCAGCUUGUCAGUGAUUUAAUAUCUGAUACGUUCCCUAUCUGGGGACCAUAUAUUAAAUGGAUUUUUUGAACAGGGAGAUGGAAAAAGAGUUUGCUCUGUCCACUCCAUGCAUUGACCUGGUACUGCAGUAUCUCCAGGAGCGGCGCACUCCUU